rnacentral:rRNA from 1 species
AACGAACGCUGGCGGCAGGCUUAACACAUGCAAGUCGAACGCCCCGCAAGGGGAGUGGCAGACGGGUGAGUAACGCGUGGGAAUCUACCCAGUUCUACGGAACAACUGAGGGAAACUUCAGCUAAUACCGUAUACGCCCUACGGGGGAAAGAUUUAUCGGAAUUGGAUGAGCCCGCGUUGGAUUAGCUAGUUGGUGAGGUAACGGCUCACCAAGGCGACGAUCCAUAGCUGGUCUGAGAGGAUGAUCAGCCACACUGGGACUGAGACACGGCCCAGACUCCUACGGGAGGCAGCAGUGGGGGAUAUUGGACAAUGGGCGCAAGCCUGAUCCAGCCAUGCCGCGUGAGUGAUGAAGGCCUUAGGGUUGUAAAGCUCUUUCAGUGGGGACGAUAAUGACGGUACCCACAGAAGAAGCCCCGGCUAACUUCGUGCCAGCCGCCGCGGUAAGAC